GACGAACGCUGGCGGCGUGCCUAAUACAUGCAAGUCGAGCGCGGGAAGCGAGUGGAUCCCUUCGGGGUGAAGCUCGUGGAACGAGCGGCGGACGGGUGAGUAACACGUGGGCAACCUGCCUGUAAGAUCGGAAUAACCCCGGGAAACCGGGGCUAAUGCCGGGUAAUACUUUCUUUCGCAUGAAGGAAAGUUGAAAGAUGGCUUCUCGCUAUCACUUACAGAUGGGCCCGCGGCGCAUUAGCUAGUUGGUGAGGUAACGGCUCACCAAGGCGACGAUGCGUAGCCGACCUGAGAGGGUGAUCGGCCACACUGGGACUGAGACACGGCCCAGACUCCUACGGGAGGCAGCAGUAGGGAAUCUUCCGCAAUGGACGAAAGUCUGACGGAGCAACGCCGCGUGAACGAUGAAGGUCUUCGGAUCGUAAAGUUCUGUUGUUAGGGAAGAACAAGUACCGUGCGAAUAGAGCGGUACCUUGACGGUACCUAACGAGGAAGCCCCGGCUAACUACGUGCCAGCAGCCGCGGUAAUACGUAGGGGGCAAGCGUUGUCCGGAAUUAUUGGGCGUAAAGCGCGCGCAGGCGGUUCCUUAAGUCUGAUGUGAAAGCCCACGGCUCAACCGUGGAGGGUCAUUGGAAACUGGGGAACUUGAGGACAGAAGAGGAGAGUGGAAUUCCACGUGUAGCGGUGAAAUGCGUAGAUAUGUGGAGGAACACCAGUGGCGAAGGCGACUCUCUGGUCUGUUUCUGACGCUGAGGUGCGAAAGCGUGGGUAGCAAACAGGAUUAGAUACCCUGGUAGUCCACGCCGUAAACGAUGAGUGCUAGGUGUUAGGGGGCUUCCACCCCUUAGUGCUGAAGUUAACGCAUUAAGCACUCCGCCUGGGGAGUACGGCCGCAAGGCUGAAACUCAAAGGAAUUGACGGGGGCCCGCACAAGCGGUGGAGCAUGUGGUUUAAUUCGAAGCAACGCGAAGAACCUUACCAGGUCUUGACAUCCUUGGACAAUCCUAGAGAUAGGACUUUCCCUUCGGGGACCAAGUGACAGGUGGUGCAUGGU
rnacentral:rRNA from 1 species